GGGAAUGUGGCUUAGCGGUAGAGUGCUUGUCUAGCAUGCAUGAAGCUGGAUUCGAUUCCUCAGUACCA
rnacentral:tRNA from 1 species